AUCCAUCUGAGAAGUCCCAAAUAGGACGAAAUGCGCAUCCUUUAU
rfam:Trichobilharzia regenti genome assembly, scaffold: TRE_scaffold0011668